AUCAGGACUAUUACUUUGAAAAAAUUAGAGUGUUUAAAGCAGGCUAACGUCUGAAUACAUUAGCAUGGAAUAAUGAAAUAGGACGGCUUGGUUCUAUUUUGUUGGUUUCUAGGAUCACCGUAAUGAUUAAUAGGGAUAUUGGGGGCAUCAGUAUUCAAUUGUCAGAGGUGAAAUUCUUGGAUUUAUUGAAGACUAACUACUGCGAAAGCAUUUGCCAAGGAUGUUUUCAUUAAUCAAGAACGAAAGUUAGGGGAUCGAAGACGAUCAGAUACCGUCGUAGUCUUAACCAUAAACUAUGCCGACUAGGGAUCGGACGAAGUUAAUUUUUAAAUGACUCGUUCGGCGCCUUACGGGAAAC
rnacentral:rRNA from 2 species